UACCCGUCUGUGUCUGGCUUCAGUCGCAGAGAGUCGUUAGUCCGGUGUGGUUGAAGAAACCGUUCGCUUGCGGUGUCGCCGCCGGAUUGGGCUUUUUGCUCUUGUUUUCUGCUGGCAACAUAGACAAAAUAUCACCACGGGUUCGUUUGUAUGCGUGCGUAUGCGAAUUGAUUAAGUGCAGUUGGAUGAAAAAUCUCAAGUGCGCUCGGUGAAGUUGGACAAUCGUUCGGCGAAACACUGUUAACCGAGUGUUUCCCGGGAGUUUUAAGGAAUGGAACUGUGAUGGGGCUAUUAUUGUGCUAAGUUAUGAUUUUCGCUUCUACGGUCAGUUAUUAAAUUAAAGUGAUGGGAGAAAAUGGUGUGGGAAGCAGCAUAAUCGAUCUGUGUGCUGAGCCGAGGAAGAGAUAGGUGUGUUAUCAAAGUGGAUACCGUUUUCGGUGGAAAAUGCAAGUUUUGUGUUCUCGAAGCAAGUCUACGGCCCUUCUAGUUUUCGGAAAAAGUUAAUGGUGCCGGAUUGGAGCACAUUUUAAUUGAUGUGUAAUAAUUUGAAUACGAGGUGCGUUUUUUGUUAGGUGAAGAGAAAAAAAACGGCAGACAUCGCCUUUAUCUUUUUUAUCCCAAACGGGUGAAUUCGUGGCACAAAAGAGAAGUGGUGUUGGUUUAUCUGUUUGUUUGCAACGGUUGCUUCAGUGAUCAUCGUCCCCCCGGAGUAGAAACGGAAGGCGUUUGCCAGCCAAAAGAUUGAACACUAAUUGAAUCAUUCCUGUCGAGUCACGCUCCAGGCCUUCCAUCAUCAGCCAUGGGAGUGCCUAGAAGCAUCAGCUGCAAAACCACCACUUCCACCACCACGACCCGAGUAUCGACGCUUCGAAUUUGCCAUUCACGUCCUCCUCAGAAUACUGAUACUGUCAGUACCACCACCGAACGGGGCUGUGAUAUGGAUAUCACUUCCGCCUCCAUCAGCACGAGUAGCAGAAGAAGCAGCAGCAGCACCACCAACAACAGCCAACUCGCCAUCCGCAACCGCCAUUCGAAGCCAAGCCAUUCCUCCACAGCAGAUAUGAUCUCAACGCGAAGCUGGCGAAGUCCACGACCGAUGUGCGGUCCUUUACUGACGGUCGCCGUCUUAUUGCUCAUCACCGUGUUUAGCAGUAGUAACAGUCGAAGUAGUGUACUAGCACAGGCAGAGCACAUUCUGACCAUCCACACGACUGAAUUUUCCAAUAUAAGCGAGAAGCCAAACUUUGUCAGCUCAACGUCGUACAACGCCCGCGGAAUGGCCCCGUUGUACAAUUUAACCAAUUUAGUAACGAAACUGUUCGUCAGCACUGCACCGGUUCCGGAAGACUACCUCAUCGUGCGGGAAGGCGAUAUCCAGCUGGGCCCGAAUGUGCGGGAAAACAAUUGGGGGCCCCUGCUGCGGGAGUACUGGGCAGUGCUGCUGGUGGUGAUCAUUUGCGUCCUGCUAAUCGUGCUGAUGCCAAUCAUCGGCCUAUGCCUGUGCUGCUGCCGGUGCUUCGGCGGAUGUGGUGGCCGAACACAGCCUUUCGAUAAGAAACACGACACCUGCCGACGGGUGCUUCUGGGUCUCGUUCUGAUCUGUACUACGUCCUCGUUGGUGUUUGGCGUUGUGGUUGCCUAUGCGACCAACAGCUACCUACAGCACGGCGUGGAGAACAUCACAACCUCGGCGCGUUACGGAGUGGACGACACACGUGAGUUUCUGCAAACGACCUCGCGACAAAUAUCGCAACUGCUGGACACAAACUAUCAGGAACUGAACAGUCAGCUUAAAAAGACAUUGAACGAAGCCUCGGACAUUAUCAUCCAACGACUGGAGGAAGAAUCCAAGGCGGAAAAACUUACGACGUUGAACGAAUUCAUUGUGCAGCUACCGGCCAUUAAGGCGAACCUUGACCGGAUGACUCUGCUGACCAAGGAGUUGCGAGUGAAUGCUUCCCAGCUGAAUGAUGGACUACGAGGCGUCAAGCGUGAGUUGCUUGCUUCCCUAACAAAGUGCGGUACCCAGGAGUGCAUCAACGUAAUGGAGGACUAUAAAAUUGGACGGUUGGACACCAAUGGGAUCGAUUACAACUCGAUACAAGACAGAUACUUCCCAAGGCUACCGGAUUUGACUGAGAUCACAAACAGUGUGCAGGAGCUGGUUUCCGGUAACAUCGCCGAUGCAGUUCAGCAGGGUGUGCAACAGUUGGAGGAACUCAAGAAAACCCUGAAGCAAACCGUUCGAGACAAUAUCCCGCUGGUGACGGCAGCGGCUGACUCUACCGGGCGGGCCAUCAAAUCGGCCUCCGAUAAGUUGACCUCGCAGUUGAGUAGUCUGUCGAAUGCGAUCGGUAAUAAUAGUUACAGACAUCUGGACACGACCGACGAUUACAUUGCUCAGUACGGAAUCUAUCGGUACUAUGUUGGACUGGCCAUCAGUUCGGUGCUGCUGUUGAUUUUGAUGUGUCUGAUUUGCGGAUUGCUGUGUGGAAUCUGUGGAAAAAGACCGGAUGGCUAUGGGGACGAUUGUUGCAAUAAGGGCGCUGGUGGGCGGUUUCUGAUGUUCGCUGUCGCCAUAAUUUUCCUUACCUUUUCUGUGAUUUUGGCGUUUACGUUGGUGUCAUUCUUGAUUGGAAGCGUAGCUCGUCGAGGAGUCUGUGACUCGUUAAAACAACCCCGAGAUAGUCAAAUAAUCGAAUAUAUUGAUGUAUACUUCAACAUCAACAAACAUUACGAACAAAUUCGCAGUCAGAGUACCCGUUCUGAUUGGAAACUACAACCAACAAACCGAGAGUCUGAUCCUAUUCGCAUUGUGGAAGUGAUUGAAUCAUGUAGCGGUAAUAAUUCUAUUUAUCAGGUUCUUAAAUUAUCAAACUUCUACGACAUUAAAGAGAUUCGACAGUUCCCGGAGGAUUACGGAAUUGUGCGGGAGCUAAACACACUGAAGGGAAGGAUCCAGAUCGGAAAGGUUGAUAUUUUAAAAGAAGAGGCUCAGCGUGAUAUCGAGUUACUGCGAGAUUCCCGACUAAACGAUUUCGAAGCAUAUAAAUUCGUAGAUCAUUUAACUUCCAACAUUACACAAAACAACUUGAACGACAUUGCCAAUAGACUGCGAAAAGUGGCUGAAGAUAUUCCAUCGAACAAAGAUUUGAACGACAUUAAGGUCAACUUGAAAAAUCAAGCCUUACACUUAUCCUCCUAUCAGUCCAAUCUAGUCGAUCCAAUGCUGCGCUAUACAAACGAACUGGUCAGCCUGUCAACGACGCUAGAACGUAGCUUGAGAUUCGGUAAAGAAUCAUUCGCGUUUGCGAUUGAUGAUUUCCUCACGCAGAUAAAGGAAGCUGAGGAAUACAUCAACGAAAAGGGACAACCCUUUGUGAGGGAUGUGGUCACCGAGCUGGCCGAUGGUUUUCUAGGGCAGAUUCAUUCCUAUCUGAAUUUGGUGAUUGAUUCUACUACCAAGGAGAUUGGCCGUUGCGGUCCACUAGCCAACGUUUAUCAAUCGAUGACGGUGGCCACCUGCAAUCGGAUUGUGGAUCCAUUCAAUGGCUUCUGGGCUGGCGUCGGUUGGUGUCUGGCCAUCUUCCUGCCGACGAUUGUGCUGUGCGUGAAGCUGUCUACGCUCUACCAAAAGUCUGAUCCGUACCCCGGACCACUAGUCGAAUCGGAGUAUUUGUACGAUGCCUACAGCGAACGGGACAAUAUACCACUAGCGAGUGGGCCAAAGAACAAACGCCGCAAGAAGAGCGAUCGUCGUCGAGAUUCGCGUGAACGACGUGACGUGUACUACGAAGACGGCAGUCCAUCAGGGGGACACAGCCGGGAACCCAGAUAUAACGAUAUGGCGCCAAAUCUAGUGUCUCAAAUUCCAUCAAUACUAACCACUAGCAGUAGUAAGGAGCGUGAAAUGUCCUUGAGCCCUCCGGAUUCUCCGGAUCUUGGUAUCUCGUCUCUAAAGAUGGCAAGUCGUCCUCCGUCGCCCAACAGGCUGCUCAGUCGACUAUUUCAACGCUCGUUCUUUGAAGAAUUCCAGAAAAUAAACGAUACCAAAUACCGUCGAGCGGACGACGAAGAAACACAAUUCAGCUGGGCUAAGAAUGCUAGCCGUAGCAACAGCAGUAUCGGUUCGACAGGAAUUUUGGCAAAUCGAACCCCGUCUCCGCUUGACUUUCGGGCGGUUUCAUUCCGCCGGCCACGUUCACUGAUCGACGAUAUCGACAAGGGGAAGCUAGAAGGACGAUCGUCGUCGCGAGCAGACGGCGGUUACGAGCGAUACUGAAGCCCAAGGCUGUGACCAACUAAAGCCAACCGGCCAAUCGCGUGCUUCCAAACAGUGAUAAUCGACUAACAAACAGGAACUGGGAUGGAGCUCCCCCACGCUAUCAGAAUCCUCCGAUGGCUCCACCGGCGACCGAGUACGAGCGUCCCCCACCUUACUACUACCCGGGAGCACCUAGCGAACAUGAGUAAACAAUCGGACGGGAAGAGUCAGUUUAUUCUCUUCCGACGACGACGACGAGAUGAUGGAGUGUAGCUGCCAAAAAAUGGUGAUAACUGAUAAACAUUUUUAAACUGAAAUUUGAACUGCGAGUACUGAUACGUUCUGUGGGACUAAUAAUUCCGACAUACGUGGAUGAAUAUCCCCGCCUUUCCGCCUUCAGACGAAAAAAAAAAACUUUUUUUGGAAUACUCUUUUCCACGACUUGUAACUAGCAAAUUGUAUUGUCAUAUAUUACUAUCAUUACUAUUAUUACACUAGACGUCAUUGCUGGUCCAAUUUGAACUGUAGUCGAUUGUUUUUUUUUAUCAUUAUUAUUCGCGGAAACAAACGGCUUUUAUCCAUUCCAAAUCUGACUGUUUGAGACGUGCAUUUGCUCAAAAUAAAGAAAUGAGAAGUUGAAAGCCCCUCUUUUGUAGUUUGGUAUGAGAUUAUUACACGGAAGACCAAAUAAAAUCGAGUUUGUUGAAUUAAAAAAAAAUAACUGCCAUCGUUAGUCCUAACUAGAACCAUUGUUCAACCUCUACACUGUAUCUUUUGUAUUUGACACGCUCACAACAAUAUGAAUUUUAUCUAGUUGAAAUCUAAAUCUCGGUGUGAAGAGGAUGAAAAAUCAAAAAUCACUUCAAUUCAACUAACUAACUCACUCGUAUCAAUGUAUCACAUACCUAGUGUAAUCUAAACCAAUUCUAGCGAUGAUAUUAGUGGAUUUAAGUGAGCGGUCUCAAGCAAGCAAGCAACCAACCAACAAAGCCAAUAACACAAUAGAUAAGUCACAUUUGUUCUGCCACUUUCAAUGCUCUUAUUGAUUAGUCGUCGUUUGUGAGUACCAAUUUUAAACUAAUCAAUUUUUUGAUAAACUUGGAAAAAAGUAUAGGAAAAAAGGCUGAUUAACUCUUAAAAGCAGGAAGAGAUAUGAAAGAAGCUGAUGGUUUUUAUUAGAAAUAGUUUGAAUUGUGUAACGUUUUUUUCGAUCAUUUAACAAUCAAUGAAAUAUUGAACGAAACUUUCAAUCAAACUAGUGAUUUUUUGCCUACGUUUCGUGUUCUGUUCGUUUCUCGAGCGAUUGAAUCUCAUCCCAGUUUAACACAAUCGAGUUUUUUCUACUCUUAGUUUUGUUAUUUGAUUCAGCUAGAGCUCGACUAGCUAAAUAACAGUUGGAGGUUAACUACGAGUAAGGGAAUUAGUCAAACUUGAACUAAUAUAAUCAAAUCCAAAACAAAAACAGUACUACGAGUAGGGAACUACUUAGACACAGAUGAAUCAGGCAACGGGAUGAAACGUUGCUAAACUGGUAAUACCGGUCCCCUAGGCCCACGUUCGUUCUGAAUCCGUUGGGUAACGCGCAUUUAAAUUUUACUUUAGUAGCUACAAAAAAAACAUUUAAACAAGUUAGAUCAAUAAGAAUGCUGACAAUUCCACGACGGAAUGGGACGACGCAAGACGCCUGUCGCGGGGGCGAUGGUUUAUAUUUUUUGAUAAGGAAGCGUUCGUACGAGGUAAAAAAAAGCUAUUUGAAUCGCAUACAACAAAUAAAUUGAUAAAAGACUUUACAUUACUUUAAUUGUAUCUAUCAAUGUGAAAACAAUUUUAAACGUGUAAAAAAUACAAUAAAUUAUCUACAAACACGAUCAUCAGUUUAGAUGUUCAAUCAAGUGGAAGUUUUGAAUACAAAGGACUAAACUGUAUUUUUUGCUGUAAUGUAAGCACGAAAGUUCAAUCAGCAUCAGUGGUAACUAAUAUGUGUCUUUUGCUAAUGAACAGGAAAAAAAACAUUGGUUUAGAAGUGAUCGGAAGGAUUAGAAAAUCACGAAAUAAAAGUGCUAAACAGUCAAA